rnacentral:rRNA from 1 species
UUAUCUCUGUAGAGUCUGCAUAUCAAUAAGCGGAGGAAAAGAAACUAACAUAGGAUUCCCUCAGUAACGGCGAGUGAAGCGGGAAGAGCUCAAAUUUGAAAUCUUCAAGGUUCUACCUUUACGAAUUGUAGUUUAAAGAAGUGUUUUCUGUUGAGGUUUUGGUAAAAGUUCUUUGGAAUAGGACAUCAUAGAGGGUGAGAAUCCCGUAUUUGACCUACUAUUUCCCACUUUGUGAUACACUUUCAAAGAGUCGGAUUGUUUGGGAAUGCAGUCCAAAAUGGGUGGUAAAUUUCAUCUAAAGCUAAAUAUUGGCGAGAGACCGAUAGCGAACAAGUACCGUGAGGGAAAGAUGAAAAGAACUUUGAAAAGAGAGUUAAACAGUACGUGAAAUUGUCAAAAGGGAAGCGUUUGACACCAGUGUUGUUUUUCUGAAAAUCAAUUAAAGAACUGUUUAUGCUAAGUUGUUUAGACUUUAUCAGCUAUCUGUUUAGUUUUGAGCUUUUCUUUAAUGCACUUUUCAGUUAACAAGUCAACAUCAAUUUCUUUUGCUGUAAAAAAGCUUGAGGAAGGUGGCUUGAGAUUCGUCUUAAGUGUUUAUAGCCUCUUGCCUAUGCAGUCGGAGAGAUUGAGGUCUGCAGCGUAGAUCCUUCGGGGCUAAAUGCAUUUGUGCUAAGUUAUAGCCUUUCAUAGACAACUUGUUGACUAUGAUCUGUCAUGUAGCUUACUCGCUUAUGCUAUUUUACCUACGCUUAGGAUGUGACGAUCAGCUGAGCGCG